AUGAUUUGUGGAUUAGAUGUGAAGCAGAAAAGGGAUGUACUGGAAAUAUUAUUAUUGUCUUUGGUUUUGUGUUUGUUUAGGCUGAAGGGUAGGCUGCUGAAUUUUGGAACUCUGUCAGUCUACACCUAGCUGUGCCCAUGGUGACAUUAACAGGAUUGCUCAUUGUUUCUCCUGAAUUAUCCAAAUAUUCUGUGUAUUAUUUGCUGAUUUCUAUCUCACAGGUCAGACCCUGUCAUCACUAAAAAUGCAGCUCAUUUGAUUACAGCAAUGAAACAUGACGACUGUAGGAGUGGACUUUGAAAGCAGUUCACUGGCAAUUUUUAAGCAAACAACUGUGUGGGCAAAGAGAUGGUGAAUUAAGCAAAGUGAAAGUUCACAAAAUUCAGUGUGACACACAAGCAAAUCAGGCUAAUUUUAAAGGAAGGAAUAAAAUACUUGGGGACCUGCUGUUAUAGGAAUAUAAUCCACAACAGGGUGCAGUGAUAAGGCCCGAAGUGUAGCAUGUCAGGAAUUGUAAGGGAGGCGGAUGCAAAUGCGGAAAUCGUUCAUUAUUUGAAGUAUAAACCAAAAAAAAACUGUGAAAACAAGAACCAAAAACCUGAACUGUAGAUACAAGGCAAAAACAUCCAGACUACAAGUGAGACUAUGGCACACGACAACACAUGAAGACUACAACAAAAAGCUUGACAUUAAGACACAGAAAAACUGGAACAUAAAUAGUGGUGAUCAUCAAGGUGAAACAGGAUACAGGUGAGAGUGAUUAGUGUGAUACAUGACAUGCAGGGAAUGAUGGAUAAUAGAAUUCUGUGCCCCUUUGGCGCUACCAUGAA
ensembl:lncRNA